GACAGAGGGUGCAAGCGUUGUUCGGAAUUACUGGGCGUAAAGGGUGCGUAGGCGGUUGUUUAAGUCUGUCGUGAAAUCCCCGGGCUCAACCUGGGAAUGGCGAUGGAUACUGGGCAGCUAGAGUGUGUCAGAGGAUGGUGGAAUUCCCGGUGUAGCGGUGAAGUGCGUAGAGAUCGGGAGGAACAUCAGUGGCGAAGGCGGCCAUCUGGGACAACACUGACGCUGAAGCACGAAAGCGUGGGGAGCAAACAGG
rnacentral:rRNA from 1 species